GAUGAACGCUGGCUAUAGGCUUAACACAUGCAAGUCGAGGGGAAACGACGGGGAAGCUUGCUUCCCCGGGCGUCGACCGGCGCACGGGUGAGUAACGCGUAUCCAACCUGCCUCUGACUGAGGGAUAACCCGUCGAAAGUCGGCCUAAUACCUCAUGGUAUCGUCUGCGGGCAUCCAACGACGAUUAAAGAUUUCAUCGGUCAGGGAUGGGGAUGCGUCUGAUUAGCUUGUUGGCGGGGUAACGGCCCACCAAGGCUACGAUCAGUAGGGGUUCUGAGAGGAAGGUCCCCCACAUUGGAACUGAGACACGGUCCAAACUCCUACGGGAGGCAGCAGUGAGGAAUAUUGGUCAAUGGGCGAGAGCCUGAACCAGCCAAGUAGCGUGCAGGAGGACGGCCCUAUGGGUUGUAAACUGCUUUUAUGCGGGGAUAAAGUGAGGGACGUGUCCCUCAUUGCAGGUACCGCAUGAAUAAGGACCGGCUAAUUCCGUG
rnacentral:rRNA from 1 species